GCCUGAACCAGCCAAGUCGCGUGAGGGAAGACGGCCCUAAGGGUUGUAAACCUCUUUUGCCGGGGAGCAAAAGCGCCGUGCGCGGUGCUAUGAGAGUACCCGGAGAAAAAGCAUCGGCUAACUCCGUGCCAGCAGCCGCGGUAAUACGGAGGAUGCGAGCGUUAUCCGGAUUUAUUGGGUUUAAAGGGUGCGUAGGCGGACAGUUAAGUCAGCGGUCAAAACGGGCGGCUCAACCGCCUGCCGCCGUUGAAACUGGCAGUCUAGAGUGGGCGAGAAGUACGCGGAAUGCGCGGUGUAGCGGUGAAAUGCAUAGAUAUUGCGCAGAACUCCGAUUGCGAAGGCAGCGUACCGGCGCCCGACUGACGCUGAGGCACGAAAGCGUGGGGAUCGAACAGGAUUAGAUACCCUGGUAGUCCACGCAGUAAACGAUGGACACUAUCUGUUCGGGUCGAGAGAGAUCUGAGUGGCACAGCGAAAGCGUUAAGUGUCCCACCUGGGGAGUACGCCGGCAACGGUGAAACUCAAAGGAAUUGACGGGGGCCCGCACAAGCGGAGGAACAUGUGGUUUAAUUCGAUGAUACGCGAGGAACCUUACCCGGGCUCAAACGCACGACGGCGGCACGUGAAAGCGUGCUUACCUACGGGACGUUGUGCGAGGUGCUGCAUGGUUGUCGUCAGCUCGUGCCGUGAGGUGUCGGCUUAAGUGCCAUAACGAGCGCAACCCCCAUCCGCAGUUGCCAGCAGGUAAAGCUGGGGACUCUGCGGAGACUGCCGGCGCAAGCUGAGAGGAAGGCGGGGAUGACGUCAAAUCAGCACGGCCCUUACGUCCGGGGCGACACACGUGUUACAAUGGCAGGGACAGAGGGAAGCCACCGGGCGACCGGGCGCGGACCCCGAAACCCUGUCUCAGUUCGGAUCGGAGUCUGCAACUCGACUCCG
rnacentral:rRNA from 1 species